rnacentral:sRNA from 1 species
UUUCGUGAGCUGGCUCACUUCAAACGGCGCGCAAGGCUGAGUAUCAUCCCCUGACGCGGACCCUCAUCGUUUUGACGGUGAGGGUUUUUCUUUGG